AGAGCGAACGCUGGCGGCAGGCCUAAUACAUGCAAGUCGAACGGACCCUUCGGGGUUAGUGGCGGACGGGUGAGUAACACGUGGGAACGUGCCCUUUGGUUCGGAACAACUCAGGGAAACUUGAGCUAAUACCGAAUGUGCCCCCAUCCUUAAACAAGAUGGGUGGGAAAGAUUUAUCGCCAUUGGAGCGGCCCGCGUCUGAUUAGCUAGUUGGUGAGGUAAAGGCUCACCAAGGCGACGAUCAGUAGCUGGUCUGAGAGGAUGAUCAGCCACACUGGGACUGAGACACGGCCCAGACUCCUACGGGAGGCAGCAGUAGGGAAUCUUGCGCAAUGGGCGAAAGCCUGACGCAGCCAUGCCGCGUGAAUGAUGAAGGUCUUAGGAUUGUAAAAUUCUUCAGCGGGACGAUAAUGACGGUACCGCAGAAGAACGCCCGGCUAACGUUCGCGCCAGCAGCCGC
rnacentral:rRNA from 1 species